CCCCCUGUAAAGCCAGUCCUACUGCUCGUUUGCUCUGCCUGCUCCUUGCCUGUGAGACCGUGCUCCCUGCCGGCGGCAGACGGCGCCCUGCUCUGCUGCUCCUCCAAGCUCCAGAUCGGCAUAUCCCGUAGGCGGUCGGCCUCUCCUGCAAGCUGCGGUUGCCGCCCAGCCUCGACUCCCCUCCGCCCCGGCCCUGAAGAUUGAAGAAGGACGACGAACUAUGGCCACUACGCCGGGCUGCGACCCCGGUUCAUUUCUUGAGAUAACCCAUUAUUUACCAUGGUGAAUGGGGAGCAUAUCCUCUGGACAUGAGAAUUAGAUGACACAACAGCUUUCAAGAACUUCAAGAUGUGGGGACAUAUCGAAUUCUCUCUACCAUUUGGAAGAGUACUCAGCCCUACACAGAAAGUUUUAUCCAUGAACUAGAUGAGAAGACAAGCGCCUCCCUGAAGUUCACAAUUUUGAACCCGAAGGGACGUAUCUGGACAAUGGUUGCUAGAGGAGGUGCUAGGGUCAUAUACGCUGAUACAGCAAUCAUGAAUCCUUAUCUUUUUUUUUAUUUAAACUUGGGAAGUUUUUCAUGUUGGUGCCUGCUAGGCUGCUACACUAUUCACCUAACUUAGGCUUGCAUAUGAUUUUAUUUAGAACAUCUUUAAAUUAAAAAUCGGUAAAAAUUUUAGUACCUAGAAAUUAGCACCUUUUGCUUAAAUGCUAGGUCCGCCAAUGUGUGUGGUCACCUGGGAGUAGGUUUGCCCAUAGCAACGGUAACGAUUGGGAUGACACGACAGUGACGGGAAGGCAAUACCGCCGGCUUGGCAUCAUGGAGCACGAAGAUGAGGAAUGGCAGAACGACUAAGGUGAAUUAACAGAUACUACUAUACUAGCAGUGAUCACGUUUAACAAAUGCGGGGAGCUUAGGUAACCUCAAUUAUGCCAUUGUUUAGGUCCGCUAAUGUUAAAAAGUGUAUUUUCUUCACUGACAAACACAUAGGGUAUCAUGCUAUAAGACGUAUCUUCUCUUUCGUUUACCUUAGAAUGACAAUGUGAUGCAUGCGUCAGCCCAAAUUGUGUGUAUAGUCCAAACUGGGCCAAUGUUCAAAGCUGAACUGAGUGUCUAGUGUCUACAACACAUAGGCGCACGAUGUGGUUUUUUAUAUUAGAAAAUGACGAUGUAGAUUACUAUGGGCCAAACACUUUUGGUGAAAAAUGGUCAAAACACAAGCAAGCGCUGCAUAUGCUAGGGAUUCUACUUGAGAAUGCGUACAUAAAGCAUGUUUGGAAGAGAAUUCAUACCAUUCUACUGGAGGAUAAAAAUAUGCGAGAUGUAGCGGAUGGAAAAUAACUGGAGUUAGCGUUAGUACAAGCAUGCCACUUCAGAUGCCGUUUAAUAGUGUUGAGGCAUCAAUGACUUUUUUUUUCCAACCCGGUGUGUCGGGUGAUGGAUUUUUCUAUGUAAUAAUGAACGGUUGUGUGUAUAACUUUAUAUAGAAGCCGAAAUAAAUAUUAUUCCAUUAAUUAAAAAACAAAUGCCACUUCAGAUGC